rnacentral:rRNA from 1 species
AGUAAUGCAUCGGAACGUGUCCAUGUCGUGGGGGAUAGCCCGGCGAAAGCCGGAUUAAUACCGCAUACGCCCGAGAGGGGAAAGUGGGGGACUCGCAAGGGCCUCACGCGAUUGGGUCGGCCGAUGUCCGAUUAGCUAGUUGGCGGGGUAAAGGCCCACCAAGGCGAUGAUCGGUAGCUGGUCUGAGAGGAUGAUCAGCCACACUGGGACUGAGACACGGCCCAG